GCAGUUUCUAGAUCGCAGAAGGAUACAGUCACAUUCAAAGGGGCUAUCCAGUCACAUUCUUAUGUCAAGGGAUUUAGUCCAACCAAGGCAGCCACACAGGCCUAUUCUCAACUCUUCUUCUACAUCCUUCUGUAUGCAUCAGGAGGCUACCCUGGAUGAACUGCAUCACCUCCACAGAUCUUACCCUUCACAACUUGGCUAUGUUGUCUUUAACAAGUAGGGAGCAAGACAAGAAGAAAUUUAUGAGAACUGGAGUACAAAUUCAGAAGAAAGCAGAAAGUUUGACUUGAUGGUUGAUUAAAUUUCCUAAAAUUCUCCCGAAGGAGAGAAGAUACUUCACUACCCACAAUAGGGCUGGACCCAUAACUAGAAGCAAAGCGACCCACUACUGAAAAGGUGAGAAGGUCAGAUCAAGAAGCAAAGGCUAUAAUUACAAAACCACUUAAAGAUCUUCAUAAUUUGUGAAGAAUCUAUUUCAACGAGAGACUAAACAUGCUACACAGAAAUUUUCUGAGUUCCUUUCAGGGAUCUACAAGUCUUUUUCACUUGACUAUAGCCUGCCUUCCAACUAUCUUAUGAACUUCAGGAAAAAGAAGAAAAAUGCCACUUUCUUCCUUUGGACACUCCCGAAUAUGUCUAACCACAGUAUUAUUCACACUGUGGGUAACCAACUUAUUUUGCUAACUGACUGAAAGAUUAUAUUAUUGUAUAAUAAAGUUUCCUUUUCUUCAAAGGGAGUAAAGUGAAAGAAUGCAUAAAAUUUGUCACAAAGUUUUCAGAUAAAACCUGUUUAGUAAUGACAAUUAGUAAUAGAAAUCAUUAGUUAUAGCAUGAUGCAGGGAAUACUAAUGAAGGCAAAGCGUAUUUUGACUAAUCUGCUUUCUGAAACGUUCUUGGUAAUAAGCAUUAGAAUGAGGUCAAAGUCAUUUUUCUUUUUUGAAAUAGAAAGGUAAUUCUAAUGUUUAUAAAAGAAAGCUUUGUGGUCUGCCAGGAAUUUUAAUUUCUAAGCUGUCAACAUUUUAGCACUUAUAUCUGAUAACGGCUGUGAUAAUGCAUGCUCCAGUCUUGUAUCAGUUGCUUGCUCUUCCAUAAGUCAAAAGUGAAAUAUGGGUAACAAUAAUGUGAAAGACACAAUGCAACUUUGAACUUUGAUGCAAUUUCAAUGUUAACAAGUUAUGUAAAAUUGACAUAUGGAUGACAAUGUUACAUAUUUCCACAUCUGACAGUGUUUUGCUGAAAUGUGAUUUUUGUAUGAAAAGGAAAUAGAAAGUGAAGUAGUUUCACUUAAUUGAAUAACUGAUAAAAUAAUCAGUGGUGCUCCAGUUUUUGACAUGGAAGAAAAGUGGAAAUGUUUUUCUACCUCUAGAGACACUGACAAAAUAGAGAAUGGGAAUGAAAUACAGAAUACAGUUUGUAGAUCCUUGAGAAUAAUUAAGCCACCAAAACUCAUCUCACUAACAAAAUCAGGCAAAAGUAAUGGAUAAAAGGGCAGACAGAGGAAACAACAACAUAAAUAUUUGAAAGCUAUUUGGCAUAUUUGGUUAUGUUCAAUUUGGUUUACGAUCAUGGAAACUUUGGUUUGUUUUGAUAAUUCCGACAUAGGGAACAACAAAAAAAGAGAAUUAGUAAAUCUUAUAGUAAGGGAGAAACUCUUUAAAAUGAUCUGGGUUAGGAUAAAGAGGGUAGGGGCUCAAACAGAAAUACUAUCAGAAAGCAAUCUUGGUUAAGUAUAGGAUCCUCAUGUUAUGUGAUAUUUUACAAUCAUUUAACAGCACUGGCUACUCUGCUUCAAGGCAGAAGAACUUUUAAACAGAUGUCCUGGAAAUAGAGGAAAACUAAUAAAACUAAUAAAAAUAAGGGAGAGGAAAACUAAUGAGUUAGCAUCCCUAUUUUCAUGAAGUGCAGAAAGAGUCUGCAGGAGCACCAGUCUCAUUAACAAAGAUGAGACUUGGGAUAUCUUACUUAGAUAACCUGGAAUGUUGCUCACUCUAAAGUCGCAGGUCAGAAAUGACUUUCAAUUCUAGAAUAAGAUAAAGAGAACAAACGUUUAAAAUUCAGAGGUGAAUCUAGGUUUGCAUUAUUGCAACAAAGUGAAAUAGUCAAAAUACAACCUCUUCCAUAGUCCAUAAAUAAGUCUAUGUAAAUAAGUCUGUAAAUCGUCUAUAAAUAUUUGACCAAAUACUAUCCUUCAUGUACUCCUGAAUGUUUACUGUGCAAAUACAGCACCACUCAUCAAACAAAUGAACACAUUUCAACAUUUCACUCCUUAUGCCUUCAACAUGUUUUUACCCUUCCGACUGGAAUUCAUUUCCCCUAGUCAUUUGCUUAGAGGAUUUAUAAUUUUCUGUUUACACUUAGAUCCAAAAAGGCUGCCAAAGAAUCUAAUUUCUUUCUCUUACAAAAACAUUAAAACUCAAG
rnacentral:lncRNA from 1 species